rfam:Rhabditophanes sp. KR3021 genome assembly, scaffold: RSKR_contig0000182
GGGGAUAUAGCUCAGUGGUAGAGCAUGCGAUUGCAGAUCGUGAGGUCCCUGGUUCGAACCCGGGUGUCCCCU